ensembl:lncRNA
CUUGAAUUGCAGUGCCGUGUGCAGUGCUUCUGCACGUGGCCCCAAGCUGCAGUGUUGGGUGCUGCGAUGGUUUCUCACUAGGAACUCUGCUGUGAAGUGCCAGGUGGAGGCCUCUGUCAGUGGUAGCUUGUGAGAAAGAAAAGCUCCAUGAAGCACAAAGGAAAAGGAAAAAAGGUUGGUAGGUGCCCAAUAUGCUACUGCAGAAGAGUGAAGAAACAACUCCAGAAUGAAGAGACAGAGCCAAAGCCAGCCCAGUUGUGGAUGUGAUUGGUGAUGGAAGUAAAGUCCGAUGCUGUAAAGAACAAUAUUGCAUAGGAACCUGGAAUGUUAGGUCCAUGAAUCAAGGUAAAUUAGAAGUGGUCAAACAGGAGAUGGCAAGAGUGAACAUCAGCAUUUUAGGAAUCAGUGAACUAAAAUGGACUGGAAUGGGUGAAUUUAAUUCAAAUGACCAUUAUAUCUGCCCUUGCUUUUUGGUAGUUAGAUGGUGUCAAUGCUCAAAACUUGUUCCUCGUAGUCCUUGGUGUCCUUAAUGCUCAAUAUGGUAGCAUCUGCAGGAGAAGAGCUGAGCAGAUGAGUAUGAACCAAAGAGCCCAGACCUGGAGUGUGAGCCUGGGCCACUGCUAGUUCUGUGCACAAGGCUGUUUUCUGCAGCAAGCCAUGGGGACGAGGACAAUAACCAGGACCUCACUGAGAGCACUGAUCAAGAUAAACUGAUCAGUAACCAUGGCAAUAGUCACCUUUUGAGGUUGGAAUUUUCCUGCUGAGGCCUCUAGAAGCACAGCCUUUUGUACAUAUGUAUGUGUGUGUGCUCAGUCGUGUCUGACUCUUUGUGAUCCAAUGGAUUGUAGCCCACCAGGCUUCUCUAUCUAUGGGAUUUCCCAGGCAAGAAUACCGGAGUGGGUUGCCAUUUCUCCCUCCAGGGGACCUUCCUGACCCAAGGAUGGAACCCCAUCUCCUGCACUUCCUGCACCCCAUGGGGAGCCCACAGCCUUUUGUUGGUCUGCAUUAACAGGAGACACAUCUUCAGUUUUAAACAUCAGUCUCUUAGCCUCUGUGUUUUAGUUUCUCAUCUGUCAAGAGUGCAUUAUCCCAUCCAAUGCAGAAAAUCAUAGUCACUGAUUGCUCAGCUAGAAAUACCCUCGUCUAGUAGGGGCCCUAGCCCUGACAUGCCCUCCUCCUUCCCAAGGGCAUUGACUCUUCUCUGGGCUUCCCUGUUGAGAGGCCACUUAAGUCCGGCAUGGCCAGAAUGCUGCUCUUGGAAUGAGAGGACCUGGUGUAGGUCCCACUCCAUCCACAUUCUAGCUGUGUGAUCUUUUUAAUAUCACUUAACCUCUCUGUAGAACUGGACAUGGAACAAAAGACUGAUUCCAAAUAGGAAAAGGAGUACAUCAAGGCUGUAUAUUGUCACCCUGCUUAUUUAACUUACAUGCAGAGUACAUCAUGAGAAACGCUGGGCUGGAAGAAGCACAAGCUGGAAUCAGGAUUGCCGGGAGAAAUAUCAAUAACCUCAGAUAUGCAGAUGGCACCACUCUUAUGCAGAAAGUGAAGAGGAACUAAAAAGCCUCUUGAUGAAAGUGAAAGAGGAGAGUUGGCUUAAAGCUCAACAUUCUGAAAAUGAAGAUCAUGGCAUCUGGUUCUGGAAACAGUGUCAGACUUUAUUUUUGGGGGCUCCAGAAUCACUGCAGAUGGUGACUGCAGCCAUGAAAUUAAAAGACACUUACUCCUUGGAAGGAAAGUUAUGGCCAACCUAGAUAGCAUAUUGAAAAGCAGAGACAUUACUUUGCCAACAAAGGUCCAUCUAGUCAAGGCUGUGGUUUUUCCAGUGGUCAUGUGUGGAUGUGAGAGUUGGACUGUGAAGAAAGCUGAGCGAUAAAGAAUUGAUGCUUUUGAACUGUGGUGUUGGAGAAGACUCUUGAGAGUCCUUUGGACUGCAAGGAGAUCCAACCAGUCCAUUCUGAAGGAGAUCAGUCCUGGGUGUUCUUUGGAAGGACUGAUGCUAAAGUUGAAACUCCAAUACUUUGGCCACCUCAUGCAGAGUUGGCUCAUUGGAAAAGACCCUGAUGCUGGGAGGGAUUGGGGGCAGGAGGAGAAGGGGACUACAGAGGAUGAGAUGGCUGGAUGGCAUCACUGACUCGAUGGAUGUGAGUUUGAGUGAACUCCGGAAGGUGGUGAUGGACAGGGAGGCCUGG